rnacentral:rRNA from 1 species
CUCUUUUAGAAAAAAAUAAAAGUAUAUUCUGCUCAAUGAUUAAUUAAAUAGCUACAUAAUUUGUACUAAGGUAGCAUUAUCAAUUGUCUAUUAAAUGUGGUCUUGUAUGAAAGAAUAAAUAAUUAAUUUCUUUAUUUUUAAUAUUUUUUGAAUUUGAACUUUUAGUUAAAAUGCUAAAAUGAAUUAUAGGGACAAGAAGACCCUAUAAAGCUUUUAAUAAUAAUUAUGAUAUUUAUUAUAUUUAAUUUUUAAUUGGGUUAAUUAUUUAUGAAUAAAAUAUAGAUUUAAAUAUAUUAAUUUAUAAGGAUCCUGUAUUAUAGAAAAUUGAAUAAGUUACUUUAGGGAUAACAGUAUAAUUUUUAUUUAUAAGUUCAAAUUUACAAUAAAGAUUGUAACCUCGAUGUUGAAUUAAUUUUAUUAUAUGGAGAAGGAUCUAUAUUAUAAUUUGACUGUUUGUCGAUUAAAAAAUUACA